rnacentral:lncRNA from 1 species
UAUAGACUAUGAUAUAUAUGUAAUACAUAACGUGCAUAUAUGUCUAAUAUAUAAAACAUAUAUAUAAGCAUACACAAUUGAAUGCAUCAUUCCUGUUAUUAUUUUGAACCAACUGUUACUGUUAGUUCAAUUAAGAACAAGAAAAAUAUAAGUUGGCCAGGUGUGGUGGCUCAUGCCUGUAAUCCCAGCACUUUGGGAGGCCAAGGCAGGCAGAUGACCUGAGGUUGGGAGUUUGAGACCAGCCUGACCAACAUGGAGAAACCCCGUCUCUACUAAAAAUACAAAAUUAGCUGGGCAUGGUGGCGGGUGCCUGUAAUCCCAGCUACUUGGGAGACUGAGGCAAUUCUCCUGGGAAUCGGAGAGGCAGGGAUUGUGGUGGGCUGAGAUUGCACCAUUGCACUCCAGCCUGGGCAACAAGAGCAAAACUCCAUCCAAAAAAAAAAAGAAAGAAGUAAAGAAAGAAAGAAAAGAAAGAAAGAAAGGAAGGAAGGAAGGAAGGAAGGAAGGAAGGAAGGAAGGAAGGAAGGAAGGAAGGAAGGAAGGAAGGAAAGAAAAAGUUUUUUUUUUUUUUUUGAGAUGGAGUCUUGCUCUGUCAUCCAGGCUGGAGGGCAGUGGUGCAAUCCCUGCUCACUAGUGUCUCCACCUCCCAGGUUCAAGUGAUUCUAUGCCUCAGCCUCCCGAGUAGCUGGGAUUAUAGGCAUGUGUCACCAUACCUGGCUGGUCUUGAACUCCUGACCUCAGGUGAUCUGCCCGCCUUGGCCUCCCAAAGAGCUGGGAUUACAGGUAUGAACCACUGCGCCUGGCCUGUUUUUGUUUAUUUUAGGAUUUCUGUCUUGCUUACAUUGUCCAUCUGUUCUUGCAUACUGCCUGCUUUAUUCAGUGUAGCCCUUAGCAUAUGAAUUAUUGUUAUUCGAAAUUCCUGCUCUGGUAACUUCAACAUUCCUGCAGCGCCUGUUUCUUCAAACUAUGUUUUUUGCCUUUUAUUAUGCCUUGUAAUUUUUUCAUGAUAGCCAAACAUGGUGUAUUGGGUAUAAGGAAGUGCUAUAAACAGGCUUUUAGUGUUGAGGUGGUGAGGUGUGGUGGGCAAAGGAAGCUAUAUUUCUUAAAUUUUUCUCUUUGUCUCUUAUUUAACAAGGUAAUUUAUAAAGAACAGAAAUGUACUUUCUUACAGUUCUGAAGACUGGAAGUCCACAGCACGGCAGGUUCAGUUGUCUGGUGAGGGCUGUCCUCUGCUUCCAAGAUGACCCUUAUUGCUGCAUCCUCCAGAGGGAAGGAACGCUGUGUCCUCUUAUGGCAGAAGGCAGAAGGGCAAGAGAACUGAAAGCUGCCUGAAGCCUCUUUUAUAAGGGCCUUCAUCCCAUUUGUGAGGGAGGAGCCCUCAUGGCCUAAUCACCUCUUAAAAGCCCCACCUCUUAAUAGUAUCACAUUGACCAACAAGGUUUAAUCUAACAUCUGAAUUUUGAAGGGGACACAUUCAAACCAUGGCAUAGCGUUGCUGAUGAGAAGUCCAGCGUCAGUCUGACUCUUGUUCUUUGUAACAUGGAAGAUAAAUUGUUCCUAUUGCAGUACUGUCAAGUCAAAUCCCAACAACCCAUUUCCCAUUUCUAAAAUUGAGACUCACAGGUCGCACUCUGCUUUUAGUGUUAACUAAUGACAUAUCAGAGUCUGGCUCUGAAAAUACAGAACUUCAUAGUUCUGUAUUUAAAAAGGUGAAAAAGAUGUUUCUUCUCCAUAGCAACGAGAGAGAGGGAGAGAAAGAGAUUGUUUCAUAGCUUAAAACUUAGUAAAAGACUCUGAUGAGGUAAGAUGUUAAAUGUGAACUCUCACAUCAGUCUUAUUUCCAGGGUGAUAUAAAGUCUUGCACAAAUAUUCCCAACUUCUACUAGCUUUUUCUGUUUUAAGUAAAUUUAUCAUUGAAAUUAUUGUUUGAACAAAGAAGUCUUGUAGGUGCUAGAAAUUUUAGAAAUUGUUGCCAUAUAGCGUAAGCAUGACCUUCAACAACAUUAGUAAUUCUGGCUCAUAGUCUUACUUGUUGGUUUGUUGCCCUGGUGCUAAUGUAGUUGACACCUACGUCCCCAGUUAUAUAAACAUUAACAGGGUUUCUCAGUCAAAUCAAAAAGAGGAUUGGCUUUCUCUCCUUUUCCUAUUUGCAUAAUGGACAAAUAAACUAGAGUCUUCAACAUAAAAAAAAGUUUAAAGUCCUGUCCUCGUUACAUCUCCACAGAGAUACCAGUUGCUUCAGCACUGUGACUUCUCAAACUAAGUGUUGGUUUUACAAGGUGUUUUAUUUAGGAUACCUGAGCACUAUUCACAAAAUGGUACCUUUUCAGUAUUAUUUGCAAGAUGUAUCGUUUAGAUGUCCUUAGGAAACUUUGGAAGGGGGAAGGAAUAUUUGAUAUCAAUGUAAAAAGGCGAAAUGGGGCCGGGCAUGGUGGCUCACACCUGUAAUCCCAGCACUUUGGGAGGCUGGAGGCAGGUGGGUCAUGAGGUCAGGAGUUCGAGAUCGGCCUUACCAACAUGGUGAAAUGCCAUCUCUACUAAAAAUACAAAAAUUAGCAGGGUGUGGUGGUGGGCACCUGUAAUCCCAGCUACUCAGGAGGCUGAGGCAGGAGAAUCGCUUGAACCCAAGAGGCAGAAGUUAUAGUGAGCCGAGAUCAUGCCACUGCACUCCAGCCCGGGUGACAGAGCAAGACUCCGUUUCAAAAAAAAAAAAGGCAAAGUGGAAGUUCCUUCAAUUUAAAAAAAUUUACCCCCCUCUUCCUCAUCCACACACAUACACCAAGGUCCAAGAAGAUGAUGUCCCAGAAAAUGCUUCGAAAUAUGGUAAAAAAUCUUCUUAGCAAAACCAAAACCAUUUUCUAUAUUACUGUGGUAUUAAAUCUUUACUAAAUGUAUUGUUGUAUAGAGUAACUAGCUCCACAACAUAGACUAGCAGAAAAAAAUAAUGCUGUGGAAAGAAACUUUUUUCAGGUCUAUAUGAACCUUAUAUCAUCAUUGAAAGUGAUCUAAUAGACAUUAGAUAGACAGAAUGGAAUAGAGUCCAGGCAUAGAGCCGCACACAGAGGAUCACUUAAUUUAUCACAAAGGUGUCAAUGAAAUUCGAUGUGGAAAGGAAGGGCUUUUCAAUAAGUGGUGUUGGUUCAAAGGAUAUUUGCAUUUGAAAAUUGGAUAAAUCUUAUCAAAUUAUUCAUUAGAAAGCUUAUACUAAUUUAUAGUCUCACCAACUUGAUUGAAAAGUGCUCUGUGGUCUAUUCAUGUAAAUGUUCAAAGAUGUUUGCAAAGAAUGGAUAUUUUGUUUAUU